rnacentral:tRNA from 1 species
GCCGAAAUAGCUCAGUUGAGAGAGCGUUAGACUGAAGGUAUAGAGGUCCCCGGUUCGAUCCCGGGUUUCGACA